GCUGGGCAUGGUGGCGCAUGCCUGUAAUCCUAGCUACUCAGGAAGCUGAGGCAGGAGAAUCGCUUGAACCCAGGAAGCAGAAGUUGCAGUGAGCUGAGAUCAUGCCACUACACUCCAGCCCGGGUGACAGAGUGAGACUCUGUCUCAG
rnacentral:SRP_RNA from 1 species